UACGAAGGGGGCUAGCGUUGUUCGGAAUUACUGGGCGUAAAGCGCACGUAGGCGGAUAUUUAAGUCAGGGGUGAAAUCCCAGAGCUCAACUCUGGAACUGCCUUUGAUACUGGGUAUCUUGAGUAUGGAAGAGGUAAGGUGGAAUUGCGAGUGUAGAGGUGAAAUUCGUAGAUAUUCGCAGGAACACCAGUGGCGAAGGCGGUCUGCUGGGCCAAGACUGACGC
rnacentral:rRNA from 1 species